UGGGGAAUUUUGGACAAUGGGCGAAAGCCUGAUCCAGCAAUGCCGCGUGUGUGAAGAAGGCCUUCGGGUUGUAGAGCACUUUUUGUCCGGAAAGAAAUCCUUGGCUCUAAUACAGUCGGGGGAUGACGGUACCGGAAGAAUAAGCACCGGCUAACUACGUGCCAGCAGCCGCGGUAAUACGUAGGGUGCAAGCGUUAAUCGGAAUUACUGGGCGUAAAGCGUGCGCAGGCGGUUUGCUAAGACCGAUGUGAAAUCCCCGGGCUCAACCUGGGAACUGCAUUGGUGACUGGCAGGCUAGAGUAUGGCAGAGGGGGGUAGAAUUCCACGUGUAGCAGUGAAAUGCGUAGAGAUGUGGAGGAAUACCGAUGGCGAAGGCAGCCCCCUGGGCCAAAUACUGACGCUCAUGCACGAAAAGCGUGGGGGAGCAAAACAGGAUUAGAUACCCUGGUAGUCCACGCCCUAAAACGAUGUCAACUAGUUGUUGGGGAUUCAUUUCCUUAGUAACGUAGCUAACGCGUGAAGUUGACCGCCUGGGGAGUACGGUCGCAAGAUUAAAAACUCAAAGAAUUGACGGGGUCAUAGCUGUUUCCU
rnacentral:rRNA from 1 species